UACGGAGGGUGCAAGCGUUAAUCGGAAUUACUGGGCGUAAAGCGUGCGCAGGCGGUUUUGUAAGUCUGACGUGAAAUCCCCGGGCUUAACCUGGGAAUUGCGUUGGAGACUGCAAGGCUGGAGUCUGGCAGAGGGGGGUAGAAUUCCACGUGUAGCAGUGAAAUGCGUAGAGAUGUGGAGGAACACCGAUGGCGAAGGCAGCCCCCUGGGUCAAGACUGACGCUCAUGCACGAAAGCGUGGAGAGCAAACAGG
rnacentral:rRNA from 1 species